AUAGCAAAACUCAGCUUCCACACACUCUGUCCAGUGAUGCCAUCCAUCACAAGUCACAACAAUUCUUCUUCUCUUCUAAUUAUUCCACCAUGGCUGCAGCAGCAUCAUCAACACUAUUUUCCCUCUCCUUCCCCUUCCACCCUCAAAUCCAAACCCUCUCCUUCCCCUUCUCCCCCACCAAACCCUCCCUCUCCCCCAAACUCUUCUCCACUUUCAAACUCUCCUCUUCCCACUCCUCCCUCACUGUUUCCGACGACCCCUUCCACACGGGCCGCUUCCUCUCCAACGACGAGCUCCGCCGCCUCCGCCUCCUCGAGACAUUCCUCUACCGCCCUGACCUCCCCUCCGGCUCCCUCUCCGUCCGCGUCAUGCGGCCCCACGAGACCGACCCCACCGUCCUCCUCCUCGCCGAGUCCUUCGCCGAGUCCAUGCUCCUCCCCCAACCCUACGUCAAAUUCCUCGCCUUCCUUGUCAAACAGUACCUCCUCGACCGCAGGUCCCUCAUGCCCCACACCGCCACCCUCGUCGCAUUCUACACCCAAACAACAGCCGCCGGCGCUGAUCAAGAAGAAGAAGAAGCGUGCUUGGCUGGGAUGGUGGAGCUCUGUUUCGACAAAAGAGGCGCCAAUGCUUCCAUCCCCUCGCCCGCCCCUCCCAGGGAUAAGCCCUACAUUUGUAACAUGGCCGUCCAAAAGUCUCUCAGGAGGAGGGGCAUUGGCUGGCAUCUUCUAAAGGCUAGUGAGGAAUUAAUUUCUCAGAUGAGUUCCUCAAGAGAGGUUUACUUGCAUUGCAGAAUAAUUGAUGAAGCUCCAUUUAACAUGUAUACAAAAGCUGAUUACAAAAUUGUGAAGACAGAUAGUAUUUUCGUCCUGCUGACAUUGCAGAGACGUAAGCACCUGAUGUGCAAGAAACUUCCACUUUUAAGCACGCCUCCAGAAACGGAUCUGUCAGUUUCUGAUGAGUAAAAGACUAUGUGAAUGUGUGCAAGGGUUGCAAAAUAUUUUGUCAAGUUGUGGAAUAUUUGCUUCCGCAAUGAUAGCAAGAUGAUCAUGGUGGUUUUCAGUUUGACUGGAGAGUAGAGAGUGGUAUCAGGCAUCCUUAUUUAUUUCUCUUAUCUGUAGGACAGAGACUGAAUAUGUUACAGGUUCCCUCUACGCAUAUAUUCAUAUACUAGGAACCUAUGCUUUCCAUCCGCACAGUAGCCUAUCAAAGAAACAAGAUUUGGGUGGUCAAGUCUGCUCAAGAUGUCAACUUCAACACGAAACUCACGUUCCCCCUCUGCUGCUUUAAUUGCUGGCAACUCCAUUUUCUUGAUUGCUACAACCUUCAGAAGGAGACUUGUUAUAUUAAGCGUAUUACCUCUCCUGACCGCAAAGUUCCCCGGUAGACUUUGCCAAAUCCUCCUUUACCAAGCAGAUUCUCAUCACUGAAUGAACAUGUUGCCUCCUCCAUCUCCUUGAGUGUGUAAACAGAUGAUCCAUGUAGCCUUUUUGUAGGUCGUGGCAUUUGAUCUUCAAGUUGCCAAAGCUGUGCAGGUUUGUAAACCCCUGAAUAUAAAGUUUGUAAAUGUUAUAAGUUGGUUGUGCAAUGAAAUAGCACUAAAGUACAUAUGCUUAAACCAU